ACAACCCCAAUGUGUCAAAGCAGUAUCAAAACCAGCAUGCAAGGACUAGUUAACCGAAAUAACAAAUAAGAGAGCUGAAUUGCAACUGAAAAGGAAAAGAAAAGGAGAAAGAAAGGAAACAAGAAACAGCCCAUCGUCAUGGAAGAGCAACAUUAUGACCAGAGAGAGACAUCGUGGAUAAAUUGAAUUAAAGAAUAUCAAGAACAUCAAAAUGUCCAAUGAAUAUCAAGAAUGCACAGGCAAAUCAAAAACCAAUCAACCAAUCAAAACCAAAUCAAGAAGCGAUAAUGAAAUAAGUAAAUAGCAAUAACAGUGAUAAUGUGGCACAGAUAAAUUAAUAUAUAUAAAUAUAAGUAUAUUAAAUUAUAGAAUAUAGAAUAAAGAAUAACCAUAUGGAAAUAAAUCAUAAAUAUAUUAAUACAAUCUACAGAACUACAGAACUUUGUACCAUCAUGAGUUAAAUAAAUAAACUAAGUCAUAACAAUUA